UGAGGAAUAUUGGUCAAUGGGCGAAAGCCUGAACCAGCCAUGCCGCGUGAAGGAAUAAGGCCCUAUGGGUCGUAAACUUCUUUUGACGGGGAGCAAUAAGGUCUACGUGUAGGCCGAUGAGAGUACUCGUCGAAUAAGCAUCGGCUAACUCCGUGCCAGCAGCCGCGGUAAUACGGAGGAUGCGAGCGUUAUCCGGAAUUAUUGGGUUUAAAGGGUGCGCAGGCGGCGCGAAAAGUCAGCGGUCAAAGUUCCGGGCUCAACCCGGUGACGCCGUUGAAACUUUCGGGCUGGAGUUCGUGCGAGGGAGGCGGAAUGCGUUGUGUAGCGGUGAAAUGCAUAGAUAUGACGCAGAACCCCGAUUGCGAAGGCAGCUUUCCAGCACGCGACUGACGCUGAGGCACGAAAGCGUGGGGAGCGAACAGGAUUAGAUACCCUGGUAGU
rnacentral:rRNA from 1 species